UUAUGGAGUCAUACGGUUGUUGAUCCCGUUCCCUUCUCCAAAACGCAUGUGGCUUGGAGCCAAAUUGAUCUCGGGAGCAUCGGGGAUAAUAUUUCCGAUAAUAAAAGCGGAAGGAGUUAGGCAGAUGUUUUUCCCAGCGACUGUGCCUGCAUACUACAGAGCUCCUCCGGUUAAAGGAGAAACCAAAUGUUCAUAGCUCCAGUUUGAUUCUCUAUCACAAGAAAUGACGUCCAAAAGAAAAUGAAAAAGGCACUAAAGAGAUGAACUUUGUGGCGAGUUUUGUUGUGUCUGUGUGUUUUUAAACGUAUGAAUGAUUGAUUAUUUCUGUUUUAUAGGUUGCGACGGUUGUAUCUUACUAAUGGAAUAUCAUUCUUUUUCGUA